GACGAACGCUGGCGGCGCGCCUAACACAUGCAAGUCGAGCGGAGAUACUUGAAGGAAGUUUUCGGACGGGAUUUGGGUAUUUUAGCGGCGGACGGGUGAGUAACGUGUGAGUGACCUGCCUUCCACAGGGGGAUAACGUACCGAAAGGUACACUAAUACCGCAUGAGACCACAGCACUGCCUGGUGCAGGGGUCAAAGGAGCAAUCCGGUGGAAGAUGGACUCGCGUCCGAUUAGAUAGUUGGUGGGGUAACGGCCUACCAAGUCAGCGAUCGGUAGCCGACCUGAGAGGGUGAUCGGCCACAUUGGAACUGAGAGACGGCCCAAACUCCUACGGGAGGCAGCAGUGGGGAAUAUUGGACAAUGGGCGCAAGCCUGAUCCAGCCAUGCCGCGUGAGUGAUGACGGCCUUCGGGUUGUAAAGCUCUUUUGUCCGGGAAGAUAAUGACUGUACCGGAAGAAUAAGCCCCGGCAAACUUCGUGCCAGCCGCCGCAGUAA
rnacentral:rRNA from 1 species